GUCUAUUUGAAGGUAUUAAUAGUCUGGCCUGCUCACUGACAUAAUAUAGUGUUAAAGAGCCGCGGUAUCCUGACCGUGCAAAGGUAGCAUAAUCAUUAGUUCUUUAAUUGAGAACUUGUAUGAAUGGUCGGACAAGGAGAAACCCUGUCUCUGCUAUUAUAGUAGAAUUUAACUUUUAAGUGAAAAGGCUUAAAUUUUUCAAGGGGACGAUAAGACCCUAUAAAGCUUUAUAUACUAAUUAGAAUUAAUUAAAUUGAGCAUAUAAAAAUUUAGUCUUAAAAAUAUAUUUAGUUGGGGCGACGAAAGUAUAAUUGAUAAUAACUGCUUAAACUUAAUACAAUAAUAAAUGAUUUUUUUUUAGCUGAUCCUUUUUAAAGAUUAAAGACCAAGUUACUUUAGGGAUAACAGCGUAAUUUCUUUUGAGAGUCCGUAUCGAAGAAGAAGUUUGCGACCUCGAUGUUGAAUUAAAAUAUCUUUAUAGUGCAGCAGCUAUAAAAAGAAGGUCUGUUCGACCUUUAAUUUUUU
rnacentral:rRNA from 1 species